GGCAGCACGCGAGCCAGAGUCACGACAAGCCCGGGUCCCAGGCUCGCUGCUGCCUCAAAUCUCAUCCGGUCCCACAGCCAGCUGCCCUGCGGAGAGAAGCCGCCGACCGGCAUAUCUCUGGGAGGGCGAGGCUGGGAGAAAGGCAUUGAGCUAAAGAUGAGAAGAAGCAUUCCCUGGAGCCUGCAUGGCAUCAAUCAUGAGAAUGGAUGUUGAGGGUUAUGCACCCCACUGAGGCAGCACUGAAUGCCAGAUCCCAAGUUACAGAGGGUACUCACUGGGUGCUCCGACUGUGUCAGGAGCAGGGAUGAUCUACCCCAGCUGAAGAUACUUAAAACGAUGUGAACAAAUUCUUGAAGACAAUUGCAGGAGGUAAAUUAGAAAGACGAAAAUAAUACCUUAAAGAAAGCAUCUGUAGUCUCCCAAGAUAGGGAUCUGGAUGCUCAGAUGCCACAGGGACCCAUUUCUUCCUUCCCAAAUCCAGGCCAACGGACAACAGCUGGCUGGGCUCAGGAGCAAUCUUACUUCCUUUAAUGCUCCAGAAAGGACCUUGGCUUAGGACAUGAAUCCAGUGACCUGAGGUCAGCAGUUUCUAUCUGAACCCAAGCCAGGUUGACCUGGGGCCUGGGCAGAUUACUGGGAUAACCAGGUGACAAGACCUACGCAAUUUGGGGGGCCCUAUGCAAAAUGAAAAUGUGGGGUCCCUGGUUUAAAAAAUCAUGAAGAAUUUUAAGAUGGCAACAGCAGGGCAUUGAACCAAGUGCUGGGUGCUUCUGAGAACAGAGCCCUGUGUGACUGCACAGGUCUCAUGGCGAUGAAGACAGCCCUGCCAGGCAAGGAAAAGAUCCUGAUGUCCAGGCCACUCCCAGACCAAUGAAAUCAGUCUCUGAGGGUGGAGUUCACGCAUCAGUGCAUGGCCCUGGUGAUGACUAAGUGCAGCCAAGUUGCGGUUUAUUAUGAGGCAGUUCAUAGAUGCUGCUGCUGCUGCUAGCAUUUCAUCUGCUGAGAACCAUACUCAGUAGAAACAGCCGUCCAAGAUACAGCCCUGCGGGGCUUUGAGUGUUAACGUUGGGUGCAUAGUGAUGAGGCUUUUUUAAAGCCUUGAAACGGGGCCAACUGGUAUUACCUAAGGAACAUUUCCUGGCAAAUAGAAAAAGCUCUCUUGGUCUUUAAAGUUCAUGACAGAUUCCCUAAGUGUUUGUAAAACAUCUGCCAACCACACUGGUGGGCUCUCACACAAAGGUUUUGGAAAUACAGACUGAUUUCCUUUGGUUACUACAACUGAUUUUUUUUUUUUUUUGGUUACUACAAUUGAUUUUAUCUCUAUAAUUUUCUUCUCUGUCAUCUUAUUUUAAACAAAUAAAA